AGCACUCAUUGGGUGCAGCUGUAAGUGCCUGGCAGGGCGAUGGCUCCUUCUGAGCUCGGUUGAACACACCACUUCUUCUCCCUUGCUCCAAGGCCAAGGUUAUUAAAUCACAGAACUCCUGGGCUCCAACACUCUUCCUCUACCAGGAGGUACAGAAGAGAGGGAGAAAAAUUAUCAUUGGUGAAAUACAGUGGCAGUCAUAUGUAAGCCUUCUGGUUUUACUCAGCUUUGAAAGAUUCGUUACAAAUUAAUCCAAUUGAUGGGGUCCUUCAACACACCUGGAGUAAAUUAGUAGGUAAGAUUUCUAUUUAAUCCGCGCUAUCACAUGGGUCAUACCUAUCUACAUAUCUAAUUUCAUGGUAAUUAUUCCAAAUGCAGAGCACUUCUGCCUAUUCUUAAUGAGUAUUUUUAGUUUGUAUUUAAUAGAUUCAUACCUUGUGCAGUCUCAAUUUACUCCUGCUACAUUUUAAAGCUUUUGCAGUGCCCACAACUAACAGCUGACCUUGUUUCAAAGUAGAGACUGAACUCCCUCCAUCACAGGCACCAGUUUGCGAUUUGUACAGAGGAAACAUCUUUUCAUGUAAUUUGGUGGCACAUCAGUGAGUACCGUAACAGCUUGCGAUUCUCAGUCCAUUUUUAUUGAACAGUAGAAAUUGAGCAAAGUAGGUCAGCAUCAUCCCCCCAUAAGGUUUAUCAGUAAGUUUCCGAAGUGAAAGCUCAAACGGUAGAUCAAAGCCUCACCUACACUGACACACUCAACGAUCCCUCUAGGAUGUGCUUCCUUAAGAACAGCUCUUGUUAGGUUCCAUGGGAGCACAAAUGAAACACUGCUGCUUCCUUGUUGUUGUACGUUAGAGCUCCUUGAAAAACGCUAUUAUUCUCUCCAAAGAUUGUAAUUGAAAGUUAUAAGUUAUAAAAACUGAUUUAUUAUUGCUGAAGGACUAUUUAAAAUGAUCUGAACUAACUGAAAUUUAAAGUUUAAAAACCACAUCAGUAGCUCUAUCCUCAACAUUUAUUUAAAAAGAGGUUUAGAAUAGAGCAGUAUGAUAUAAAAGCGAAUUCAACAGUUGUUUUUGCUCCCUCAGAGAGCAGUUACCGCCUGUCAUAUAAUUAAGUGAAUAUGUCAGUGACAGAAUACACAAAGCAGCAGGGAGUACAGGAAAAUACAGCGGCGUCCUGUACCCGUAAGCCUUUCGGCUCAGCACAGUGAGAAAAACCUGUCUAAUAUAUUAGAAACAGAGAAUUAAAAGGCAUAAUCAGAAACACAAGAAAUUGCAAAAGGAGAGUUCUACCAGCACACUGCAUGCUGGGUGUGAAUCAAUCCAGACGAUGCCCAGUGAAUUUUAUGACUAGUUACAAAACAUGCUGCACACUUUAUCUCACACAAAUGCUUGAUCUCACAUAAAUUUAAGAUUGAUAAAAGUCAGCUAAAAAUCAUAGAGCACCUUGAAGAGCUGCAUUGGGUGAAGAAAAUGUUUGUUCUGCUCCAUCCACACUGAAGACUUCACAAUGGGCGUUAUUAUUUCCAUUACCAUUUUCCUAUGGUGUCAUUUAUCCCCAUAUUCUGUAAAUAAACUUGUUGAAUCUUAUUUGUUGUUUAAUCUAUUGUUGAAAUUCCUUAAGGACAUUCAAGGGAAAUGCCUUCAUGAGCUUAGGCAAAAAUUGCUGAAGCUAAAGGUGGAACUCCAGCAUGAAAGUUAGCAGCAAGGAGAUCUCACAAACUCCCUGGUUUUAUUAAAUUAUCAGUGACAUGUUAGUUUAUGUCUUAGACUGGAAUUUUAAAUCAUCAGCAUACAGUAAAGGCCAAUUUUCAAGAUGCCUAAGUGAAGAAGUAUUACUCUGGGAGCAGGAACAAGAACACAUAGCAGCUGGCAGACAGCAGAAGAGAUGUUAAAAUUCCUGUUGGACAACACACAAUCCACUUCCCACCCAGUGCCCUCAGAACUUACACAUGCUCCUGCCUUGACCCAGCUGUGGUUUCCCUCAGUCAGUCUGACACAAGGUUCCAGGUAUUCUUCAGGAUAGCUGCACUGGCUGCCAGCGUAUCGCAGCAACAUGUGAGUGCUGUAUAGCUCUUCUAAUACUUUGAGGCGGCAGUAGACCGACUGCACAGACUGCAAAGGGACCACUGGGCUCAGGGACAUUCUCUGGGGCAGAGGGAUGCAAGGGAGAUGGAAGCAGAAUGCACUACCAGAUCUUUGGAAGGAAGGAGAUGAGAAGAGAGAGAACAAAAGCUGGAAUUAAAAAUACAUGGUAUUUUAAAG
rnacentral:lncRNA from 7 species